rnacentral:rRNA from 1 species
GAUGAACGCUGGCGGCGUGCCUAAUACAUGCAAGUCGAGCGAACGGACGAGAAGCUUGCUUCUCUGAUGUUAGCGGCGGACGGGUGAGUAACACGUGGAUAACCUACCUAUAAGACUGGGAUAACUUCGGGAAACCGUAGCUAAUACCGGAUAAUAUUUUGAACCGCAUGGUUCAAAAGUGAAAGACGGUCUUGCUGUCACUUAUAGAUGGAUCCGCGCUGCAUUAGCUAGUUGGUAAGGUAACGGCUUACCAAGGCAACUAUGCAUAGCCGACCUGAGAGGGUGAUCGGCCACACUGGAACUGAGACACGGUCCAGACUCCUACGGGAGGCAGCAGUAGGGAAUCUUCCGCACUGGGCGAAAGCCUGACGGAGCAACGCCGCGUGAGUGAUGAAGGUCUUCGGAUCGUAAAACUCUGUUAUUAGGGAAGAACAUAUGUGUAAGUAACUGUGCACAUCUUGACGGUACCUAAUCAGAAAGCCACGGCUAACUACGUG